AGAGUUUGAUCCUGGCUCAGGACGAACGCUGGCGGCGUGCUUAACACAUGCAAGUCGAGCGGAAAGGCCCUUCGGGGUACUCGAGCGGCGAACGGGUGAGUAACACGUGAGUAACCUGCCCCAAACUUUGGGAUAACCCUCGGAAACGGGGGGCUAAUACCGGAUACGACACAGCUUCGCAUGGGGUCUGUGUGGAAAGUUUUUCGGUUUGGGAUGGGCUCGCGGCCUAUCAGCUUGUUGGUGGGGUAACGGCCUACCAAGGCGACGACGGGUAGCCGGCCUGAGAGGGCGACCGGCCACACUGGGACUGAGACACGGCCCAGACUCCUACGGGAGGCAGCAGUGGGGAAUAUUGCACAAUGGGCGGAAGCCUGAUGCAGCGACGCCGCGUGAGGGAUGACGGCCUUCGGGUUGUAAACCUCUUUCAGCAGGGACGAAGCGCAAGUGACGGUACCUGCAGAAGAAGCGCCGGCCAACUACGUGCCAGCAGCCGCGGUAAGACGUAGGGCGCGAGCGUUGUCCGGAUUUAUUGGGCGUAAAGAGCUCGUAGGCGGCUUGUCACGUCGACUGUGAAAUCCCGCGGCUCAACUGCGGGUCUGCAGUCGAUACGGGCAGGCUAGAGUUCGGUAGGGGAGACUGGAAUUCCUGGUGUAGCGGUGAAAUGCGCAGAUAUCAGGAGGAACACCGGUGGCGAAGGCGGGUCUCUGGGCCGAUACUGACGCUGAGGAGCGAAAGCGUGGGGAGCGAACAGGAUUAGAUACCCUAGUAGUCC
rnacentral:rRNA from 1 species